rnacentral:lncRNA from 1 species
GAAGAUUGGAUGCGUUCGUUGCGAGAAAAUCCACCCGAGUUUCGCUACCCGGAAAUAGUGCAUUCGGGUGCCGAAAUGCACCCAUUUUGCAUCAUUUUUCGUUCCGGAACCGAAUGCUCAAAAACACUCCCAAACAUGUUCUAGGGUAUAAUUAGGAAUAUUGCAUGCGUUCGUUGCGAAAAAAUCCACCCGAGUUUCGCUACCUGGCAAUAUGCAUUCGGGUGCCGAAAUGCACCCGUUUUGCAUCAUUUUUCGUUCCGGAACCGAAUGCUCAAAAACACUCCCAAACAUGUUUUAGGGUAUAAUUAGGAAGAUUGCAUGCGUUCGUUGCGAAAAAAUCCACUCGAGUUUCGCUACCCGGCAAUAUGCAAUCGGGUGCCGAAAUGCACCCGUUUUGCAUCAUUUUUCGUUCCGGAACCGAAUGCUCAAAAACACUCCCAAACAUGUUCUAGGGUAUAAUUAGGAAGAUUGCAUGCGUUCGUUGCGAAAAAAUCCACCCGAGUUUCGCUACCCGGCAAUAUGCAAUCGGGUGCCGAAAUGCACCCGUUUUGCAUCAUUUUUCGUUCCGGAACCGAAUGCUAAAAAACACUCCCAAACAUGUUCUAGGGUAUAAUUAUGAAGAUUGCAUGCGUUCGUUGCGAAAAAAUCCACCCGAGUUUCGCUACCCGGCAAUAUGCAUUCGGGUACCGAAAUGCACCCGUAUUGCAUCAUUUUUCGUUCCGGAACCGAAUGCUCAAAAACACUACCAAACAUGUUCUAGGGUAUAAUUAUGAAGAUUGCAUGCGUUCGUUGCGAAAAAAUCUAAUCGAGUUUCGCUACACGGAAAAAGUGCAUUCGGGUGCCGAAAUGCACCCGUUUUGCAUCAUUUUUCGUUCCGGAACCGAAUGCUCAAAAACACUCCCAAACAUGUUCUAGGGUAUAAUUAUGAAGAUUGCAUGCGUUCGUUGCGAAAAAAUCCACCCGAGUUUCGCUACACGGAAAAAGUGCAUUCGGGUGCCGAAAUGCACCCGUUUUGCAUCAUUUUUCGUUCCGGAACCGAAUGCUCAAAAACACUCCCAAACAUGUUUUAGGGUAUAAUUAGGAAGAUUGCAUGCGUUCGUUGCGAAAAAAUCCACUCGAGUUUCGCUACCCGGCAAUAUGCAUUCGGGUGCCGAAAUGCACCCGUUUUGCAUCAUUUUUCAUUCCGGAACCGAAUGCUCAAAAACACUCCCAAACAUGUUCUAGGGUAUAAUUAUGAAGAUUGCAUGCGUUCGUUGCGAAAAAAUCCACCCGAGUUUCGCUACCCGGCAAUAUGCAUUCGGGUACCGAAAUGCACCCGUUUUGCAUCAUUUUUCGUUCCGGAACCGAAUGCUAAAAAACACUCCCAAACAUGUUCUAGGGUAUAAUUAUGAAGAUUGCAUGCGUUCGUUGCGAAAAAAUCCACCCGAGUUUCGCUACCCGGCAAUAUGCAUUCGGGUGCCGAAAUGCACCCGUUUUGCAUCAUUUUUCGUUCCGGAACCGAAUACUCAAAAACAAACUCCCAAACAUGUUCUAGUGUAUAGUUAGGAAGAUUGGAUGCGUUCGUUGCGAGAAAAUCCACCCGAGUUUCGCUACCCGGAAAUAGUGCAUUCGGGUGCCGAAAUGCACCCAUUUUGCAUCAUUUUUCGUUCCGGAACCGAAUGCUCAAAAACACUCCCAAACAUGUUCUAGGGUAUAAUUAGGAAUAUUGCAUGCGUUCGUUGCGAAAAAAUCCACCCGAGUUUCGCUACCCGGCAAUAUGCAUUCGGGUGCCGAAAUGCACCCGUUUUGCAUCAUUUUUCGUUCCGGAACCGAAUGCUCAAAAACACUCCCAAACAUGUUCUAGGGUAUAAUUAGGAAGAUUGCAUGCGUUCGUUGCGAAAAUAUCCACCCGAGUUUCGCUACCCGGCAAUAUGCAUUCGGGUGCCGAAAUGUACCCGUUUUGCAUCAUUUUUCGUUCCGGAACCGAAUGCUCAA